AGCGAACGCUGGCGGCAGGCCUAACACAUGCAAGUCGAGCGCCCAGCAAUGGGAGCGGCAGACGGGAUAGUAACACGUGGGAACGUACCUUUCAGUUCGGAACAACCCAGGGAAACUUGGGCUAAUACCGAAUACGUCCGUAAGGAGAAAGAUUUAUCGCUGAAAGAUCGGCCCGCGUCUGAUUAGCUAGUUGGUGAGGUAAUGGCUCACCAAGGCGACGACGGGUAGCGGAAGCGAGAGCUUGAUCCGCCACACUGGGACUGCGACACGGCCCAGACUCCUACGGGAGGCAGCAGUUUGGAAUUUGGACAAUGGGCGAAAGCCUGAUCCAGCGACGCCGCGUGC
rnacentral:rRNA from 1 species